CCCGUCACCGCCCGCUCGUCUCCCAUCCGCACGCAGCUCGCAGGAGAAAUUUGGAAGGCAGCGUGCACGCCUCGGAAGAUGGAUAAGAAGCAGCAACUUUUCAUUUACACAGCUGCAGCGUAUACGUUACUUUCGAUGAUGGCCAUGAUUAUUCAAUCUAGAAAAAGAAAACGCCGUGAACCUGUAGAACCAAUUACCUAUGCUCCAAUUGAGGAGAGGGAUAGAAUGAGAAUUGAGUAUCUGAAUAAUAAGAUAUGGAAGAA